GAGCCGAGCCCGGGCAGCCAGGGUGGCUCUGCUUACUCUGCCUUGUGUGUUUAGGGUCCUUGUGAGAUGCGGGGACCAGAGGAUCCCAUCACAGAGCUGCGGGGUAGACGCAGUCAUGUUUCUGCACUUCUCCUGUCCCUGCGCGUCCUCAGGACGGUCACAGAGGCUCUGGCGUUCCUUCUCUGUGACUGUUCUCUUUGCCUGAGCUGUCAGUUUGUUGGAGUUUAGAUGCUUGAACUGUGUUCAUUACACCUUCAGGUCAUGUACUUCUCAUUUUUCUUAUUAUUCAAGUCUUAGUUGGGGCUUGAAACUUCAGCACCCUUUGAUUUUCCUUUGUAAUUUGUUACUUUAAAUUAAUUAUGUUGACAAAUCUGAACUCGUGAACCUGGGCUGCUGUAGCGAAGCAUGCAAACUUAACCACUAUGCCACUAGGCUGGUCCAACCCCAUUUGUACUUUUAUUUCCACUUCUUACAUUGGAGGAUCUUUUCCCACCUCAUCUACCUCAGUGUUGUCGUGGUGAGCAGAGGGGAGAGGUGUGUGAAAACUCUGACGACAGUCCGGGAACUUAUGCCCGUGAGGUGUUCCUUGGUGGUCUGUGGCAGAAGGAAGAUUGCUUCCUUCUGAUGACAUUCGGUUAGGACGCCUGUAGAGCUUAGAUGUUACGGGAUCAAGGGUGAUGUGAUAAGGCAAGAAACCUGCUGGAGCCUGGGCUCUGGUCCUGGCUCUAACUGGUUCCGUCAUUUGGACAAGGAAGUGCCUCAUUUUUCUUUUCUGUAAAAUACAGGUGUUUGACCAAAGCUCUCUGGGUCCCUUCUGGCCUCAGGUUCUCUCAGCGGAGGCUCUGCUGUGCCAAUUGCUGGGUGUGAGGCCCUCUGGGUUCACCACCUGUGCCUUUUCUCUGAGCAGCAUGCUGUCUGGCGAGCCCCGUGGUGUACAGGUGGUUGCUUGCAGAGGCCUGUGGGGUGUCGGGGAAUGUCCGGUGCCCUCUUGCCUCCCUUAGAAUUCCUUGGGACAGCCUGGUCAAAGAGGGCAGUGGAGAGGCAGUGCCACACUGGCACGCUGUCUCUAGAGAGCCCUCCUGUCACGUUCUUUGCCUUACUUAAAACCUCUUCCUUCCUCUGAAAGGCUCUUCUGGAUUCCUUCUAGUUCCCUCUACCAUGGAGAAUUUGAGAGUUUUAAAGAAUUUUAGAGCCAGAAAAGCCCUAUGUUGUCAUCAAGUCAAAGCCUCUUAUUUACAGACGGGGAGGCUGCAGCCCAGAGAGGGGUCUCUCUCCAUACCACUCAGCUUGUGAGUGCCCGAAGCGGAACCUGUGUCUGCUGACUCUCACUUCAGCACUUUUUCAAGUGGACUCACAUAGUAUGUCAGCCAAUUAGGGAUUCAUUUAUUUUACUAAGCUUCUUUUUAAAAUUCUUUGUAAGUGUAAACUUUAUUCCCUUUUUCUCCUGCUUUACUUUACUGUGAGAUGAGCAUUCGAGAGUCAUGCUGAAUACCCAGGGAAAGAGAGCCUGAGCGAGCCGUGCUGCAGGGAGGCGGGCCCCUUGGGCUGCCAGGGGCUGGGAGCAGGGGUUGCAGACUGUGGGAAAGAAUGAGAAGGAGGCUGAGGUAUCCCAGCACCGGACUUUGCCUUUGGAAUUUGUUUCCUGGCAUCCAUCAAUAAUUGGUGCGCAGACUGAGUUCAGAAAUUACGACUGAUUUGCUAGCUGGUUAUCAGCUUUCCUGAGUCUAUAUUCUGCGUUGCAGACUAGACUGGUGUGUUCUGGUCUUGCCCUCUCCUCUCCAGCCGCCUGGUAGGUAACGCUGCAGUAAGGCGACUGCUGACAGCCAGUUGAGUGGCCAGUUGAGUGCUGUCCGUAUGCAGCUCCUCCCUGUCAGUCCUGUCUGUCACUGAGCUUUCACGGGCAUCCGAAUGCAGGUCUUCUCUGUCAGCGCAGUGUGCACCUUUUCAGGAACCUUCAGUCUAGUUCUCUUUAAAAAAUCUCUCUGUUUUUGUUAUAGGGGGUAUAACGUGUGUCCUUUCCCUAAUCUGUGCCUUGGCCCUUGCUUACUUGGAUCAGAGAGUAGAAAGAAUCCUUCAUAAAGAACAAGGAAAAACAGGUGAAGUUAUUAAGUUAACUGAUGUGAAGGACUUCUCCUUACCCCUGUGGCUCAUAUUUGUCAUCUGCGUCUCCUAUUACGUUGCCGUGUUCCCUUUCAUUGGGCUUGGGAAAGUUUUCUUUAUAGAGAAGUUUGGAUUUUCAUCUGAGGCAGCAAGUGCAAUUAACAGUGUUGUCUAUGUCAUAUCAGCUCCCAUGUCCCCAGUAUUUGGGCUCCUGGUGGAUAAAACAGGAAGGAACAUUGUUUGGGUCCUGUGUGCAGUGGCAGCCACUCUUGCUUCCCACAUGAUGCUGGCCUUGACGCUGUGGAACCCUUGGAUUGCUAUGUGUCUGCUGGGAAUCUCUUAUUCAUUACUUGCCUGUGCGUUGUGGCCAAUGGUGGCAUUUGUAGUUCCUGAACAUCAGCUGGGAACUGCAUAUGGCUUGU